UAGAAGUAGACGUGUUCUAUUUGAGUGGA
rnacentral:piRNA from 1 species